rnacentral:rRNA from 1 species
AGUGAACGCUGGCGGUAGGCCUAACACAUGCAAGUCGAACGGCAGCACAGUAAGAGCUUGCUCUUACGGGUGGCGAGUGGCGGACGGGUGAGGAAUACAUCGGAAUCUACUUUUUCGUGGGGGGUAACGUAGGGAAACUUACGCUAAUACCGCAUACGACCUACGGGUGAAAGCAGGGGAUCUUCGGACCUUGCGCGAUUGAAUGAGCCGAUGUCGGAUUAGCUAGUUGGCGGGGUAAAGGCCCACCAAGGCGACGAUCCGUAGCUGGUGUGAGAGGAUGAUCAGCCACACUGGAACUGAGACACGGUCCAGACUCCUACGGGAGGCAGCAGUGGGGAAUAUUGGACAAUGGGCGCAAGCCUGAUCCAGCCAUACCGCGUGGGUGAAGAAGGCCUUCGGGUUGUAAAGCCCUUUUGUUGGGAAAGAAAAGCAGCAGGUUAAUACCCCGCUGUCCUGACGGUACCCAAAGAAUAAGCACCGGCUAACUUCGUG